rnacentral:rRNA from 1 species
AGAGUUUGAUCCUGGCUCAGGACGAACGCUGGCGGCGUGCUUAACACAUGCAAGUCGAGCGGAAAGGCCCUUCGGGGUACUCGAGCGGCGAACGGGUGAGUAACACGUGAGAAACCUGCCCCUUGCUCUGGGAUAGCUUCGGGAAACCGGAAUUAAUACCGGAUAUGACUGCGGUCGGCAUCGACUGCGGUGGAAAGAUU